rnacentral:rRNA from 1 species
CCUACGGGAGGCAGCAGUGGGGAAUUUUGGACAAUGGGCGAAAGCCUGAUCCAGCAAUGCCGCGUGCAGGAAGAAGGCCUUCGGGUUGUAAACUGCUUUUGUACGGAACGAAACGGUCUGCUUUAAUACAGUGGGCUAAUGACGGUACCGUAAGAAUAAGCACCGGCUAACUACGUGCCAGCAGCCGCGGUAAUACGUAGGGUGCGAGCGUUAAUCGGAAUUACUGGGCGUAAAGCGUGCGCAGGCGGUUAUAUAAGACAGUUGUGAAAUCCCCGGGCUCAACCUGGGAAUUGCAUCUGUGACUGUAUAGCUAGAGUACGGUAGAGGGGGAUGGAAUUCCGCGUGUAGCAGUGAAAUGCGUAGAUAUGCGGAGGAACACCGAUGGCGAAGGCAAUCCCCUGGACCUGUACUGACGCUCAUGCACGAAAGCGUGGGGAGCAAACAGGAUUAGAUACCCUGGUAGUCCACGCCCUAAACGAUGUCAACUGGUUGUUGGGUGCAUUAGUACUCAGUAACGAAGCUAAGCGUGAAGUUGACCGCCUGGGGGAGGACGGCCGGCGAGGUUAGUUAAACGUAACGAAAGAAAGUUAGAGGCGNGNGAGNGCGACGGACGACGACGAGGGAGGAGG